GACGAACGCUGGCGGCGUGCCUAACACAUGCAAGUUGAGCGACGAACCAGGGCUUGCCCUGGGGCAAAGCAGCGAACGGGUGAGUAACACGUGGGUAACCUACCCCGAUAACCGGGACAACCCGAGGAAACUCGGGCUAAUACCGGAUGUGCUCACUGGACUUCGGUUCAGUGCGUAAAGGAAGCUUCGGCCUCCGUAUCGGGAGGGGCCCGCGGCCCAUUAGUUUGUUGGUGAGGUAACGGCUCACCAAGACCGCGAUGGGUAGCUGGUCUGAGAGGACGAUCAGCCACACUGGGACUGAGACACGGCCCAGACUCCUACGGGAGGCAGCAGUGGGGAAUCUUGCGCAAUGCGCGAAAGCGUGACGCAGCAACGCCGCGUGGGGAAGAAGGCCUUCGGGUUGUAAACCCCUUUCAGGAGGGACGAAGGUUCGGCGGUGAAUAGCCGUCCGGACUGACGGUACCUCCACAAGAAGCCCCGGCUAACUACGUG
rnacentral:rRNA from 1 species